UCCUGUCCUCCUCCCUCUCUUUGUUGUAUUUUUUUCCCGAAAUACAUCUUCAAUCUAGCUCUGUUGUUCAUCGUUGUUGUCUUUGUUGAAGUCGAUUCGCCGCUGCUCAUCAUCACCACUCGCAAGGUUCUCUCUCUUCGCAAGGUAAUUUCGGUCUCUCUCUGUUGUGUUUCACAUUCGGAGGAAAUAGGUUCUUCUUUCGCUGCUGUUCAUCAUCACCACUCGCAAGGUUCGAUUUCUACGGAGCGUUCUCUUUUCGCAUUGAAUCCACAAUUAGGGUUUUGCUUUGUCAAUUUUCUUCAAAUUUUGUCAAUUUUCUUCAAGUUUUAUCAAUUUUCUUCAGAUCUAACAACAAUUUAUAUCCCGAACCACUCGAUUCAACAGAUCGAAAUCACGAUCUGCUCCAAAAAUUGUUCAUUUUCCCCUGAAUGUGGUACUUUCUCUCAAGAAAUUGUUCCUUUAUAUGCAUGGAAAUCACGUUCAUGAGUGGUUGCUUUGAAUUUAACCUAUCAAUUUCAGAUCUAACAACAAUUCGUAUGUCCAACCACUCGAUUCAAAAGGUUGAAAUCACGAUCCGCUCCAAAAAUUG